rnacentral:rRNA from 1 species
GACGAACGCUGGCGGCGUGCUUAACACAUGCAAGUCGAACGGAAAGGCUCUGCCUUUGUGGGGUGCUCGAGUGGCGAACGGGUGAGUAACACGUGGGUAAUCUGCCCUUCACUCUGGGAUAAGUCUGGGAAACUGGGGCUAAUACUGGAUAUGAGCUUUUGCUUCAUGGGGUUUGGUGGAAAGUUUCGCGGUUUAGGAUGGGACUGCGGCCUAUCAGCUUGUUGGUGGGGGUAUGGCCUACCAAGGCGACGACGGGUAGCCGGCCUGAGAGGGUGAUCGGCCACAUUGGGACUGAGAUACGGCCCAGACUCCUACGGGAGGCAGCAGUGGGGAAUAUUGCACAAUGGGCGGAAGCCUGAUGCAGCGACGCCGCGUGCGGGAUGACGGCCUUCGGGUUGUAAACCUCUUUCAGCAGGGACGAAGCGUAAGUGACGGUACCUGCUGAAGAAGCACCGGCUAACUACGUG